UACAGGGGGGCAAGCGUUGUUCGGAAUUACUGGGCGUAAAGGGCUCGUAGGCGGCCAACUAAGUCCGACGUGAAAUCCCCAGGCUUAACCUGGGAACUGCGUCGGAUACUGGAUGGCUUGAAUUCGGGAGAGGGAUGCAGAAUUCCAGGUGUAGCGGUGAAAUGCGUAGAUAUCUGGAGGAAUACCGGUGGCGAAGGCGGCAUCCUGGACCGACAUUGACGCUGAUGAGCGAAAGCUAGGGGAGCAAACGGGGAUUAAGAAACCC
rnacentral:rRNA from 1 species